AGAGGAAGUAAAAGUCGUAACAAGGUCUCCGUAGGUGAACCUGCGGAGGGAUCAUUACACAAAUAUGAAGGCGGGCUGGAACCUCUCGGGGUUACAGCCUUGCUGAAUUAUUCACCCUUGUCUUUUGCGUACUUCUUGUUUCCUUGGUGGGUUCGCCCACCACUAGGACAAACAUAAACCUUUUGUAAUUGCAAUCAGCGUCAGUAACAAAUUAAUAAUUACAACUUUCAACAACGGAUCUCUUGGUUCUGGCAUCGAUGAAGAACGCAGCGAAAUGCGAUAAGUAGUGUGAAUUGCAGAAUUCAGUGAAUCAUCGAAUCUUUGAACGCACAUUGCGCCCUUUGGUAUUCCAAAGGGCAUGCCUGUUCGAGCGUCAUUUGUACCCUCAAGCUUUGCUUGGUGUUGGGCGUCUUGUCUCUAGCUUUGCUGGAGACUCGCCUUAAAGUAAUUGGCAGCCGGCCUACUGGUUUCGGAGCGCAGCACAAGUCGCACUCUCUAUCAGCAAAGGUCUAGCAUCCACUAAGCCUUUUUUUCAACUUUUGACCUCGGAUCAGGUAGGGAUACCCGCUGAACUUAAGCAUAUC
rnacentral:rRNA from 1 species